UAGAUGGGCUUUGUAAAUCAGGAAAUGUCCUUCCAGCGAGAGAUUUAGUUCGUAGAUUAGAAAGAAGUAGGUUGAGACCUAAUGUCAAGGCUUAUAGUGCAUUGCUCGACGGGCUACGCAAAUCUGGAAUGGUGGAUGAUGCUCUCCAGCUCCUAUCCGCGAUGAUCGAAAAGGGUAUUACACCCGAUGUUGUCACGUACAACUCAAUGAUUCAGGGGUUGUGCGACCUAGGGAGACUGGAGGAUGUUAAGGUUCUGGUGAAUGAAAUGUCUAAUUCUAAUAUUUCUCUCGAUGUUGUUACCUUUAAUAUAUUGAUUGAUGCAUACUGCAAGGAGAGAAAGAUGGAAGAGGCUGAGGAUUUGUUGGAAAUUAUGAAGCAACGUAACGUAUGCCCUACUGUUGUCACUUAUAAUACGCUGAUUGAUGGGUAUUGUUUGAGAGGAGAAAUUGACAAAGCACGACAAGUACUUGAUUCCAUGGUUGACAAGGGACUUAAGCCUGAUAUUGUUACCUACAACUGCUUAUUAAAUGGAUAUUGCAGAAAGGGGAGAAUAGACGAAGCUUGGCUUCAUUUUCAGGAAUUUCCUUGUAAAGGUCUGGAGCAUGAUACAUGUACUUACACAACCAUGAUACAUGGAUUGUUUAGUGAACGUAGAUUUUCCGAGGGCUGGAAACUUUUCAAGGAUAUGGAAGCUCGACGAGUAUGUCCUGAUAUAUAUACUUAUAGUACAUUGUUGGAUGGGCUGUGCAGGAAUGGGGAGACUGAUGAAGCUCUUUCUUUUCUGCAUACGAUUGAAGGGAAAGGAGUUGAUCUCGAUAGAGUUACAUAUGGGGCUGUCAUUAAUGGAUUAUGCAAAAAUGGGAAACUUGAUGUUGCCAGAGAUCUUUUCAACCAACUGCCUUCUAGAGGUGUGCUACCUAAUGCUCGUAUAUAUAAUAUGAUCAUUGGUGCACUUUGUCAUGAAGGUUCUACGGAGGAGGCACAAUGUUUGCUUACAGAGAUGCAGAGUCAUGGUUGUGCACCUGACGACAUGACAUACAACAUCAUGACACGAAGUUUCCUAAAGAAGAAAGAACUUAGCAAGGCAAUACCAUACUUGGAAGUAAUGCGCGAAAAGGAACUCUCUGCAGAUGUUUCUACUCUUUCCAUGCUCAUUGAUCAAAUGCAAGGAAAAACUAAAGAUGAUGUUCUUCUCAAAUUGAUGAAAGAUGUUUUGCCAAAGGAUUUUCCAUCAUAGUCAUCUUACCUUCUGAGAUGCAACCAACUCAGGCUUUGGGGCUGAACUUUGUGUCUUUUUAUUUCUUCUAGGUUUUUUUUUUUUUUUUUUUUNCAUCUAAAGAUUUUUCUUGUGAUUUUGGAAGGGUACUUGCUUGCGUUUAUUUAUGGGUGGUUUAUCAAUUAAUCGAUUUUUUUGUAAUAUAUCUCAUGUGUACAAAUAUAUUCUCAUAUAUUCUAAUAUAUCAAUUCGUAUGCGUAUGUUGCAGAAAUGGAUAUUCAUUUAUUUUCUUCUACUUUGGAUACAAGAGGCAGCCUUCUAGCUGAAGUGUCUCUUUCCUAGAUUAGCAACACAACUAAUAUACACUUCCAUAUUUAAUGAAAAAAAAUGGCAAAGAAGAAGAUGAAAAGAAAAUUUACCAAACAUAUUACUCAUCUAAACCACAAUUUGAGCAGAAAACUACUUAUUUUGCAAAUCAAAAUUGCCUCACAAAACAUCCUGCAGUUUACAGUCUUGAAAAAGCUACACCAAAAACAUACUUGUGAAGAUUUAGCAACACAACUAAUAGCAGCAAACCGGUAUCUACACCCUCCUUCAUCUCCUAAACACAAUUCUCUCAACAAUACAAAAUACUCCCUCUGUCCCCAAAAUAAAAAUAAGUUUCUCUUUGGGGAUGGCACGGGUUUUAAGGAAAAGUGGUAAAGUGUAUUGAUAGUGGAGAAAAACAUUUUAUAAUUAUUAUUGAGAGUGGUGAAAAUGUGAAAAAAAUGUUAUAAUUACUAUUGGGAGUGGUGAAAAAUUGAAAAGUAAGAAUAAAUAAAGUAUUAUUAGUGGUGGGGUAGUCGUUCGAAAAUGGAAAGAAAGAAAGAGGAACUUAUUUGGAGGACGUCCCAAAAAAGAAAAAGAUGAACUUAUUUCAGGGACGGAGGGAGUAUAUUUUAAUAGGAGUAACAUAUAAUAAUUCACAUCAAUUACUCAAUAAAAUCCUGAAUUUAAAAAUAUAAAUAUUCAAUUUAUACAAAGUGUAAUAAUAAUUGAAGUUAUUAAAUAAAUUUAAAAAGUAUUCGAUAAUAAAAUUUUGCACUAUGCAUAUACUAUUCAUCAUAAUAAAUAUUUCUAUACAAACGUAAAUAAAAAGUUUUGGUGACAUUUAAAUAUUUUUCAUGAUCAAAUUUGAUGACGUUUAAAUAAUAAUUACAAUAUAAAAAGGUUAAAAAAAUAGUGAAAAUUUUGGUGGAAGAAAGAGAUCGAGAGAAAAGAGAGGGAAAAAAUAGAGAGAGAAAACUCAUCUUUUAUAUAUUAUAUAGAUAUAGAUAUAGAUUCCAGGUAUUAUUCUUGUGUUUUUUUCUCAAGAAAAUGUAUUAUUUUAUUUACAUUGUAUAGUAUUGCUAUAUUUUCUUUUCGUGCAUAGCACAUGAGAAAAUACUAGUUAACCUAAGAGAGAGAUUACUAUAGUGAUUUUCUUAGAAGAAAUGCGCGAAAAGAGACUCUUAGCAUAUGCUUCUACUUUUUUGAUUUAAUCCAUUAUCAUUGCAGCAGAUUAUUUAAAGGGGUGGAAUUAAAAGUACCCACCCCCAUAAUAUGUCUAUGAAAAAUACCCAACCCCUUACUAGGGGUGGGUAUUUUUCAUAUAUUAAGUCUUAUUUAAAUUUGUUUGGAUUGGUCUAGAGAUGACACUUGUUCUACUUUUUUUUAUAUAAGGCACUUACUUGAAGUUAUAAAAAAUAUAUAUACAUAUAUAUAAAAGUCCAUUAUGAUAUCACAAAAUUUUUUAUCAUAAAAAACACAUGCAAUUCUAAAAUUAACAAAUAAUAAUAUGCCUUAUAACUACAAUAUUAAAUAUUACAAACUGAUCUACAACAAAAUUAUAAUACAAAUUUGAAUAAGAGCGAUGAAAAGAAUUGUUUAACUUAAUAUUACCAACAAAUUUCACUCAUAACGCCAUUGCAUAAUGAAACUAUCAAAUUAACUAUAUAUUUUUUUAUUUACAUACAAAAUAGGGUUAUUUACGAAAGAAAUAAGGUUAUUUUAGGUAUUUUUUUUAAAGACAAAUGAAAGAAGGAAACUCAUUGUAUAAUUAAAAGUUCUCAAGUAUACAUUAGAAAAUACAAGUAAAAAAAAAGUAUACAUUAGAAAAUACGAUGGAAUUGUGUAGUGAUCCAACAUAUUUGGUAAGUGGCUACUUUAUUUCAAAGUUAAAUACUUUUUUAUAUAAUUAAAAUAAGAAAACUAAAAUAAUUAUAGAUGCACUACAUUUUAAAAAAUGUAAGAAAACGUUUAUUAUGUUUACUAUCUUAGUAUUUUUUUUUCUGUAGCCCAAAUAAUUUGAGCCCAAACAUUAUUAUUCAAGCCCAAAAUUCUGAGCCUACCAAAGAACUCCCCUUACAAAAAAGUCCAAAUCGCAAACUCCAUCCGUUGCAAUUUCAACCCUUUUUUCAGAUUCAAUCACAACUAAUCUCGCAAGCGUCGCCCAACACUCUCCCUUUCUUCACAUUAAAUCUCACCGCCGAUUAAGGAUGAGAGCAGAAGAGCUGCUGUUUCUGCAAUCGAUCUCAUUCAUGGAACAGGAUUUCUCAUCGAUGGUCGCAUAAAUCGGGUAUUUCUCUCCUCCAUUCCACUUCUCUUCAAGCGUCGCCCAACACUCUCCCUUUCUUCACAUUAAAUCUCACCGCCGAUUAAGGAUGACGAGCAGAAGAGCUGCUGUUUCUGCAAUCGAUCUCAUUCAUGGAACAGGAUUUCUCAAUCGAUGGUCGCAUAAAUCGGGUAUUAUCUCUCCUCCAUUCUCUCUCUUCUCUUCCAAGGCUUUUCAACCUAAGCAGCCCAGAAUCGAUUUCAGCUGUGUUAAAGAAUUAAAUGAUGCUAUUGGAUUGUUUCAAAAAAUGAAGAGUAUGCAGCCGGAGCCUUCUGUUCGAAUGUAUAACAAUCUUUUGAGUGUCACUGUAAAGAUUGAGCAGUAUUCUUUUGCCCUUUAUAUGUUUGAUGAAAUGCUUAGGAUGGGUGUCCCUGUUGAUGUUUACACGAUGACUAUUGCUGUGAAUUGUUGUUGUCUCUUGAAAGAUAUAAAAUCUGGCUUUGCUGUAAUGGGUAUAUUUUUCAAGAGAGGCUACGAACCAAAUGUCGCGACAUUCACCACUCUGAUUAAAGGGUUGUUUUUAAAUCAUAAGGUGGCCGAGGCUGGGAAAUUGUUCAAUAAGAUUUUGCGUUUCGGAAUAUGUGAGCCUAAUGAUGUUAUGAUUCUGACGAUGGUAGAUGGGCUUUGUAAAUCAGGAAAUGUCCUUCCAGCGAGAGAUUUAGUUCGUAGAUUAGAAAGAAGUAGGUUGAGACCUAAUGUCAAGGCUUAUAAUGCAUUACUCGAUGGGCUACGCAAAUCUGGAAUGGUGGAUGAUGCUCUCCAGCUCCUAUCCGCGAUGAUCGAAAAGGGUAUUACACCCAAUGUUGUCACGUACAACUCAAUGAUUCAGGGGUUGUGCGACCUAGGGAGACUGGAGGAUGUUAAGGUUCUGGUGAAUGAAAUGUCUAAUUCUAAUAUUUCUCUCGAUGUUGUUACCUUUAGUAUAUUGAUUGAUGCAUACUGCAAGGAGAGAAAGAUGGAAGAGGCUGAGGAUUUGUUGAAAAUUAUGAAGCAACGUAACGUAUGCCCUAAUGUUGUCACUUAUAAUACGCUGAUUGAUGGGUAUUGUUUGAGAGGGGAAAUUGACAAAGCACGACAAGUAAUUGAUUCCAUGGUUGACAAGGGACUUAAGCCUAAUAUUGUUAGCUACGGCUGCUUAUUAAAUGGAUAUUGCAGAAAGGGGAGAAUAGACGAAGCUUGGCUUCAUUUUCUCGAAGUUCCUUUGAAAGGUCUGGAGCAUGAUACAUGUACUUAUAAUACCAUGAUUCAUGGACUGUUUAGUAAGCGUAGAUUUUCCGAGGGCUGGAAACUUUUCAAGGAUAUGGAAGCUCGACGAGUAUGUCCUGAUAUAUAUACUUAUAAUACAUUGUUGGAUGGGCUGUGCAGGAAUGGGGAGAUUGAUGAAGCUCUUUCUUUUCUGCACACGAUUGAAGGGAAAGGAGUUGCUCCUAAUAGAGUCACAUAUGGGGCUGUCAUUAAUGGAUUAUGCAAAAAUGGGAAACUUGAUGUUGCUAGAGAUCUUUUCAACCAACUACCUUCUAGAGGUGUGCAACCUAAUGCUCGUAUAUAUAAUAUGAUCAUUGGUGCACUUUGUCAUGAAGGUUCUACAGAGGAGGCACAAUGUUUGCUUACAGAGAUGCAGAGUCAUGGUUGUGCACCUGACGAAGUGACAUACAACAUCAUGACGCGAAGUUUCCUAAAGAAGAAAGAGCUUAGCAAGGCAAUACCAUACUUGGAAGUAAUGCGCGAAAAGGAACUCUCAGCAGAUGUUUCUACUCUUUCCAUGCUCAUUGAUCAAAUGCAAGGAAAAACUAAAGAUGAUGUUCUUCUCAAAUUGAUGAAGGAUGUUUUGCCAAAGGAUUUUGCAUCAUAGUCAUCUCGCCUUCUGAGAUGCAACCAACUCAGGCUUUGGGGCUGAACUUUGUGUCUUUUUAUUUCUUCUAGUUUUUUUUUUUUUUUUCAUCUAAAGAUUUUUCUUGUGAUUUUCUUGCGUUUAUUUAUGGGUGGUUUUUCAAUUCUCAUAUAUCUCAUGUUGUGUGCAAAUAUAUUCUCAGAUAUUCUAAUAAUUCAAUUCAUAUGCAUAUGUUACUGAAAUGGAUAUUCAUUUAUUUUCUUCUGCUUUUGAUUUUCACCUAGAAAUAAAGGGUGGUAAGUAUCUGUUCCCUUUGAGCAAGAAGCAGACAGCCUUCUAGCCUUCUAGCAACACAACUAAUAUAUACUUCCAUAUUUAAUGAAAAAAAAUGGCAAAGAAG
rnacentral:lncRNA from 1 species